AUGGCGGCCGUGACGUUGGACGAGUCUGGGGGCGGCCUGCAGACGCCCGGAGGGGGGCUGAGCCUCGUCUGCAAGGCCUCCGGAUUCACCAUCAGCAGUUAUGGCAUGCUGUGGGUCCGACAGGCGCCCGGCGAGGGGCUGGAGUGGCUCGCAGGUAUUGAGUAUGAUGGUAGUGACCCAGUCUAUGGGGCAGCAGUGCAGGGCUGUGCCCCCAUCUUGAGGGACAACGAUCAGAGCACGGUGAGCCUGCAGCUGAACACACAGGGCUGA